GUUCGCUCCGCGCCGCCCGCCUGCUACGAGUAGGACGCUGUCCGCAGCUUGCGCAUUUCGCAGCCGCUGCCGCCUCGCCGCUGCUCCUUCGUAAGGCCACUUCCGCACACCGACACCAACAUGAACGGACAGCUCAACGGCUUCCACGAGGCGUUCAUCGAGGAGGGCACGUUCCUUUUCACCUCAGAGUCGGUCGGGGAAGGCCACCCAGAUAAGAUUUGUGACCAGAUCAGUGAUGCUGUCCUUGAUGCCCACCUUCAGCAGGAUCCUGAUGCCAAAGUAGCUUGUGAAACUGUUGCUAAAACUGGAAUGAUCCUUCUUGCUGGGGAAAUUACAUCCAGAGCUGCUGUUGACUACCAGAAAGUGGUUCGUGAAGCUGUUAAACACAUUGGAUAUGAUGAUUCUUCCAAAGGUGUGUUUUAAUGAUUUUGCUCAUUUUUUUCUAGGUAACAGCUGUGAGGUUUGAAGAAACUCCUAGAAUAUUCCUGCUAAUCCUAAACUCCAGUUGUAUUUUACUAUACACUAAGCCCUAUUCUGUUCAUUCUCUAGAAGGUCCGAUGGUUUAGGUAUAUUUGAUUUCUUCAGCAGUGUUUAGAAUUCCAGAUAAUUGCUGUAAACAGCAGGUAUUUCUAGGACGUAAACAAGAUGUUGUGUUUUUUGCUUAUAGGUUUUGACUACAAGACUUGUAAUG
rnacentral:sRNA from 1 species